AGAGUUUGAUCCUGGCUCAGGAUGAACGCUAGCGGCAGGCCUAAUACAUGCAAGUCGAACGGGUGUAGCAAUACACUAGUGGCGCACGGGUGCGUAACGCGUAACCAACCUACCUACAUCUGGGGGAUAGCCCGCCGAAAGGGGAUUAAUACCGCAUAAGACUGCAGAGGGGCAUCUCUUGGUAGUUAAAGAUUUAUUGGAUGUAGAUGGGGUUGCGUAGCAUUAGCUAGAUGGCGGGGUAACGGCCCACCAUGGCGACGAUGCUUAGGGGACCUGAGAGGGUGAUCCCCCACACUGGCACUGAGAUACGGGCCAGACUCCUACGGGAGGCAGCAGUAGGGAAUAUUGGGCAAUGGGCGAGAGCCUGACCCAGCCAUGCCGCGUGCCGGAUGAAGGCCUUCUGGGUUGUAAACGGCUUUUCUCAGGGAAGAAAAAGACCCUGCGGGGUACACUGACGGUACCUGAGGAAUAAGCACCGGCUAACUCCGUGCCAGCAGCCGCGGUAAUACGGAGGGUGCAAGCGUUGUCCGGAUUUAUUGGGUUUAAAGGGUGCGUAGGUGGCCUGUUAAGUCCGGGGUGAAAGCCCACAGCUCAACUGUGGAACUGCCCUGGAUACUGGCGGGCUUGAGUCCAGACGAGGUUGGCGGAAUGGAUGCUGUAGCGGUGAAAUGCAUAGAUAGCAUCCAGAACCCCGAUUGCGUAGGCAGCUGACUAGGCUGGUACUGACACUGAGGCACGAAAGCGUGGGGAGCGAACAGGAUUAGAUACCCUUGUAGUCC
rnacentral:rRNA from 1 species